rnacentral:misc_RNA from 1 species
AUAUCUCAACACAGACAAGUUUAUCACUUGUUCUGAUGCUUGGAUGCUGAAGGCUGUUGGCAAAACUUGUCAGCUCCUUUUAAAUUUAUUAGCAGAAACCUAUGCAAAAAGCUGGCUUCAGUUUGAUAAGCACUUAUCUGUAUUGCUGCUGCUAGUGAAAUGCUCUUGUUUCAGCUUCCAAAUGUCCAAUUCUUAUGGACUGUCUCUCAAGACAAAACCCUUGAC